rnacentral:rRNA from 1 species
GUUAGGAAUAUUCGUCAAUGGGGGGAACCCUGAACGAGCAAUGCCGCGUGAAUGAAGACGGUCCUCUGGAUUGUAAAAUUCUGUUGUUUGGGAAGAACGGUAUAUGUAGGAAAUGACAUAUGCGUGACGGUACCAUUCAAGAAAGCCACGGCUAACUACGUGCCAGCAGCCGCGGUAAUACGUAGGUGGCGAGCGUUAUCCGGAUUUAUUGGGCGUAAAGCGUCCGCAGCCGGUUUAUUAAGUAUAGAAUAAAAGCCCGAGGCUUAACCUCGGUUCGUUCUAUAAACUGAUAGGCUAGAGUGUGGUAGAGGCAAGUGGAAUUUCUAGUGUAGCGGUAGAAUGCGUAGAUAUUAGAAGGAACACCAGUGGCGAAGGCGACUUGCUGGGCCAUCACUGACGGUCAGGGACGAAAGCGUGGGGAGCGAAUAGG